GAGUUAGGGUUCGUCCAACGAGCCCGACCUCCCAACCCUUUGUCUAUUUUACCUUGUCGUUGCUUCGGCGGACCGGUCGCGACCAAUUGGUCGUGGCCGCCGGGGGUCUUUCCCCUGGAGAGCGUUCGCCGAUGGCCCAACCACAAACUCUUGUAUCAAACCAUGUCGUCUGAAUUACUUGAUUAAAAUCAAAAAACAAAACUUUCAACAACGGAUCUCUUGGUUCU
rnacentral:misc_RNA from 1 species